GAUGAAGAACGUAGCGAAAUGCGAUACGUAAUGUGAAUUACAGAAUUCAGUGAAUCAUCGAGUCUUUGAACGCACAUUGCGCCCCCUGGUAUUCCGGGGGGCAUGCCUGUCCGAGCGUCAUUGCUGCCCUCAAGCACGGCUUGUGUGUUGGGCCUCCGUCCUCCUCCCGGGGGACGGGCCCGAAAGGCAGCGGCGGCACCGCGUCCGGUCCUCGAGCGUAUGGGGCUUCGUCACCCGCUCUUGUAGGCCCGGCCGGCGCUUGCCGACACAUCAAUCUUUUUUCCAGGUUGACCUCGGAUCAGGUAGGGAUACCCGCUGAACUUAAGCAUAUCAAUAAGCGGAGGA
rnacentral:misc_RNA from 1 species